UAGAUUCUCCCAAGACAUUCAACAAAACCGAAUCUGCCAGGCAGAGUCGAAUAGUACUCCUUGCUCUUCUGUCCAACUUCUCCCAAUCUUCCUUCGACAUACCAGUAGUUGGUGUACUAUUAGUUUAUGUACUAGUAGGUUGUGUACCAGUAGCCUGUGUGCUAGUAGACGAUGUACCAGUGGGCUGUGUACCAGGAUCCACAGCGGUCCAUUGUUCUUUUUCUACAAGAAGGUCCUCCAUCUUGAGCUUCCAUAGCUCAAAGUUUUUACCAUUGAAAUUAUCUAUCUUGAUUCUAGAUGAUCUCUCCAUUCCUCUUUCUAUACUUGAAUCUCCACUGCAAAAGCUCCCACUACACCCAGAUUUAUCACAGACCCAAGAUAAACUUGAUCUAUCAAGACCGAGCUAAACCCUCAACAACAAAGGCAUCCCUCUGAAGCCAAAAAUGAGCUCUGAUACCACAUGCAAGUUUUAAACCUAUGAAUUAAAGCAAUGCAUAUAGAUUCUUAAGCAAAACAAAAUUUAAUCAAUGGCUCAUACACAGAGUACACAGAGAUUUUAUACUGGAAACCCUCAACCAGGAAAACCUUUCUUAUAUUCAUUAUGUCAAAUUUCACCAUUCACCAUACAAUAUAUAUACAAUGUUUUUAGGUAUUCCAUAGAUACCAAAACCCUAAUCCCUUAAUCCAGGAUUAAUUUACAAAAUCCGCUAAAAAUAGAAAAAAACACCCAAAAAAAAAAUCGAGGCGCUACCCUGGGCUACCGCCCAUUGCCGAACGCUGCACAUAACCAGAGGGGGGCAUACCUACCCCCCCUGGGACCCCCCUAGGAAAUCACCCGGUGCACAUGACACAAAGAGCACUACUAGAGGUAUCGUCAGAUGUAAUUGUCAUAUCUGACGCGCCCACACACACACAUGCAAAGAAUAUAACACAUACCCAACAGUUUAGGCCAUGGAAUUUUGAAGCAAUAACAGGUUUGUGAUACUCUUAGAUUUUCUUGGCCACACACACACUACACUGAUGCAGUCAACGAGUUUUUCUCCCUAGUUUGAGAGGAUUGGGAAAUCUUCUCAAAUUCCAUCAUGAUGGGGAUAAACCAUUAAAAUUAUUGAUCUUCAAUGAGGAAUUUGUUGUAAGCAGAUGUCAUCAUCUCGUGUUGACUAUGUUGUUUCCCUAUGUACACACCACCCAUCACUCCUACCUAUUGAAUGAUACAAUGAAGUGUGCAUAUCGUGUCAAUGAGGGUGUUUUGUCACUGAUGAUGUCAUGAGAAGUUCAUUGAACCUUAUCAUUUAGAGGAAGGAGAAUUUGUAACAAGGUUACUAUAGGUGAACCUGCGGUAGAAUCAUUG
rnacentral:ncRNA from 1 species